CGUACAGUGCAAUAUACGACUACUCUUGUCAUCUCCCUUAGAUUGAAAAUGCCGCCCAGAUGUGCCUGAAAACCAGAUAUGAGUUUCUCUGGUGAGCGUACUGAACUUCUCAAGCACCACUGAAAACGUUGCUUAAACACAGGGGAAACAAGAGGAUAAAUAGCAAUGACAUUCACGUGAACCAAACGGCGGCUUAUGAAUGCGUGCAUGUUGGAGAUUUACAGACUUGAAGCAGAAGCAGGACUCGGAUCCUGGGACACGUGCCAAGACCGAGUUAAUCCAUGCACACCAGCUCCAUAUCUACGUACAUUAUUCGGGGAUCUACUCAGAUGUUCUACUUGCUGCAGCCUCUCAUUCUCCAAUCAUCAUCAGGGAAAUCAAAAUUCACUGAGAGAUAGAUGGAGAGCUUUACAUCUUGUUCAGUCCCUGCUGACGGAUGCAGAGGAAGUGCCUAACAGACACGAGCCACUGGAAUGAACAAGUUUGCACUAUCCUGUGGCGAGGGGAUGAGGUGGGCAAAAAAAAAGGGCUA
rnacentral:lncRNA from 1 species